rnacentral:rRNA from 1 species
CGGACGGGUGAGUAAUGUCUGGGAAACUGCCUGAUGGAGGGGGAUAACUACUGGAAACGGUAGCUAAUACCGCAUAACGUCGCAAGACCAAAGAGGGGGACCUUAGGGCCUCUUGCCAUCGGAUGUGCCCAGAUGGGAUUAGCUAGUAGGUGGGGUAAAGACUCACCUAGGCGACGAUCCCUAGCUGGUCUGAGAGGAUGACCAGCCACACUGGAACUGAGACACGGUCCAG